UAGGGAAUCUUCGGCAAUGGACGAAAGUCUGACCGAGCAACGCCGCGUGAGUGAAGAAGGUUUUCGGAUCGUAAAACUCUGUUGUUAGAGAAGAACAAGGACGUUAGUAACUGAACGUCCCCUGACGGUAUCUAACCAGAAAGCCACGGCUAACUACGUGCCAGCAGCCGCGGUAAUACGUAGGUGGCAAGCGUUGUCCGGAUUGAUUGGGCGUAAAGCGAGCGCAGGCGGUUUCUUAAGUCUGAUGUGAAAGCCCCCGGCUCAACCGGGGAGGGUCAUUGGAAACUGGGAGACUUGAGUGCAGAAGAGGAGAGUGGAAUUCCAUGUGUAGCGGUGAACUGCGUAGAUAUAUGGAGGAACACCAGUGGCGAAGGCGGCUCUCUGGUCUGUAACUGACGCUGAGGCUCGAAAGCGUGGGGAGCAAACAGG
rnacentral:rRNA from 1 species